AUUGAACGCUGGCGGCAGGCCUAACACAUGCAAGUCGAGCGAGCGGCGGACGGGUGAGGAAUGUAUGGGGACUGCCCGCUAGAGGGGGGUAUCUACUGGCAACGGUAGCUAAUACCGCAUACUAUCGGAUAACCCAUAUGGGAUUGGCUAGUAGGUGAGGUAAUGGCUCACCUAGGCGACGAUCCCUAGCUGGUCUGAGAGGAUGAUCACCCACACGGGGACUGAGACACGGCCCAGACUCCUGCGGAGGCAGCAGGGGGGAAUAUUGCCCAAGGGGCGCAAGCCUGAUGCAGCCAGGCCUCGUGUAUGAAGAAGGCCCUAGGGUUGUAAAGUACUUUCAGUCGGGAGGCGUUACCGACAGAAGAAGCACCGGCUAACUCCGUGCCAGCAGCCGCGGUAAUAC
rnacentral:rRNA from 1 species